AACGCGAAGAACCUUACCAAGUCUUGACAUCCCCCUGACCGGAACUUAACGGUUCCUUUCCUACGGGACAGGGGAGACAGGUGGUGCAUGGUUGCCGUCAGCUCGUGUCGUGAGAUGUUGGGUCAAGUCCCGCAACGAGCGCAACCCUUAUUCUUAGUAGCCAGCAGGUAGAGCUGGGCACUCUAGGGAGACUGCCAGGGAUAACCUGGAGGAAGGUGGGGAUGACGUCAAAUCAUCAUGCCCCUUAUGAUUUGGGCUACACACGUGCUACAAUGGCGUAAACAAAGAGAAGCAAGACCGCGAGGUGGAGCAAAUCUCAAAAAUAACGUCUCAGUUCGGAUUGCAGGCUGCAACUCGCCUGCAUGAAGCUGGAAUCGCUAGUAAUCGCGAAUCAGAAUGUCGCGGUGAAUACGUUCCCGGGUCUUGUACACACCG
rnacentral:rRNA from 1 species